AUCUUUUUUGACUCAAAGGCGCGAUGAUUGGCUGGUCACUUCAUUGUUUGACAUUCCCUCCUCACACCUUGUUUUGAUGUCAGCGCAUUACCCAUCUGACA